CGUUACUCGGUUCUGCACGUGGAUAUAGGUUUUACUCUCAGGGUAGGAAUUCGUUGCAUAUGUUGUUUGCAUGAUCAGUAUUUUCAUGGUUUCAGCAGUUUAGGCCUCUGAAGAGUUUAAAGGUCACCUUCAAGUAUAGUCUGAGCUUGUUGAAGUGGAUAUCUUGUACCGUAACAGCGAAUAAUUUUCGAUUUUAUGCAUAAAAUUACUUUUUCCGCAAAUAUUUUCCUGAUAGUCUUAAGAGAGUUUUUUUUUUUAUAUUAGAUUAAAAAUUCGUUGUUUCGGGUUUCUGAAGAAUAUAAAAGUCACCUUCUAGUCUGAGCAUGUAUAAAUGGAUAUCUUGUACCGUAACAGAAAAUUAACAUGGAAAUUUUGGAUUUUAUGCAUAAAAUUACUUCUUACAUUACAACUUUGAAUAUCUUUCUGAUAGUCUUAUUUUUUAGAGUAAAAAUUCGGAAGAGUAAAAUAUUCGAAAAAGUAAGCAAUAAGAAAUAAUUGUAUGUUCAGAUUGACCAGCAAAUUUCGAUAUGCAAAUCAGAAUUUACUAUUUUUUUAUUAAUUUAUGUUUGAUGAAAUCUUUAAUAUUUAUCGUUAAAUUAAGUAUUAGGAUGUCAAGAAACAGGAGUUGAUUUGUAUUACACUAAAAUGAAUGCUAACUAGAAAAAUCUGCAACUUAUAAGUUCAAAUAGCUUGUCUGUUAUCUUUAAAUAUCUUGUUCAAAGUAAUUUUAUUCGUUUUCUAUCAAAAAAGAGCAUCCUUCGAUUCCAUUGGAUGAAAGCGCAUAUGCUUUAGCCCUUUUCUUACCCUCUCUUCCGCAUCCCCAAUUUCCACCCCUACCAACAGGAUGAGAUUUCCCCUAACGACGGAGUCACCCUUUGGACACCGACUGACUAACAUGGCCGACAAAGAUGGCAGCUCAUUUACAUGGUCUGCGCGUGAGAUGACUCCUGAAUCAAGUCCUAGAGUUUCAAUUAGCUGUUAAUAAAGUAUGAUAAACCGAUGAGAAAUUAUCCUUGUUAUGGGUGGAUGGUUACCUGGUGAUAAAAAAAAUUGUACAUGUAAUUUUUCUGUAACCACAAGCACGGCACAAGAAGAUUAUGAAAGACGUGAAGAUUUUCAUAUUUUCAAAUUAUUUUGUAUUACUCAUAUCAUAUUGUUUUGCAUGAGAGUUUUGUAUAAUGUGUAUUUAAAGAAAAUAAAGCAAUCAUUACUUUCAUAAAAA